AAUGAGAAAAAAUGGGCAAUUUUCCAAAUUCAAAUUAAGUUACUCCCACCAGGCCAAACACAAUUCUCUUUCCUUCCCUUGACAGUUGCCACUCGCUUUGCGAAAACGCAGCAACAAAAUGUUGAAAGCAAAGGAGCUCUGGACACCUCUGUCGACAAUUCUUCGACGCAGAGCUCUGCUUUUGACGGCACGUUGUUUCCUAUCCGAUCAUUCUAUCUCUACUCCACGAAUCUACUCUUCGUACUCCAACGCUAGAAAUUCUAGGUGUUUCUUUAGCUCAAGUAAAAACCACUUUCUAGGGAAUUCUCUCAAAUUUUCCGGGAAAAACUUCUGCUCAGAAUCUUCUAAGAAAGUUAAUGCUACUUGCUGGAACUGCAAUGCCCAUCCACAACAGUCUCCGUUUCUGGUUUGCGAGUCGUGUAGAGCUAUCCAGCCAGUUGAUCAGUCUAUCGAUUACUUCCAGAUUUUUUGGCUGGAGAAGAAAUAUGAAAUAAAGGAUGAGAAUUUGGAGGGUAAGUACAAAGAUUGGCAGAAAAAAUUGCAUCCUGAUUUAGUUCAUUCAAAAUCUCAGAAAGAGAGAGAGUUUGCAGCGGAACAGUCUGCUCGGAUUAUAGAUGCGUACAGAACUCUUAGCAAUCCCCGGUUACGGGCGAUAUACAUUCUAAAGCUUGAAGGGGUCGAUGUCAAUGAAGAAGAAACCAUUACAGAGCCACAGUUGUUAGCUGAGAUUAUGGAAAUCAGGGAAGCGGUUGAAGAGGCUCCCAACACUGAGGCUUUAACUGAUAUUCAAUCUCAGAUGAGAGAAAAAUUGCAAUAUUGGUCUGAUUCCUUUGCAAAUGCUUUUCAAAGCCACAAAUUUGAAGAGGCUAUAACUUGCAUUCGGAGAAUGACUUACUAUGAUCGUGUAAAUGAAGAAAUUGUGAAGAGGCUUUAGGAAGGCUCACGAUGUGCUAGAACUCAUUUUGGCAGUUAGCCAAGUUAUCACAUAGAGGAUUCAUGGUCAAUGAAUUACAGGUAGAAGGUGGUGUAAAACCCGGUUUGAGACUGCCUGCCACAGUAUAGUAUUAAACCAGAAAUAUUUGGAGAAAAUACAAGCCAAUACUUGAGAGGUGUUUUGCCAUCAUGUUUGGCUUGCAUCACCUGCAGUUCUCAACUUGAAAUUUUCAGCUUCAGAUUUGUUUUCAUUAAAUAAAGUAGGAUGACACAAUACCGGACAAUAUUGUCCUAACUGAAGCUAUAUUUGUUAAGUGCUUCGUUGAGUCAUUAGAAAAUUGUCUUUUUUCCAGUUUAUCGCAAUUUUUUAAACCCUUUAUGAGAAUUUUUAGCUUAUAUUUAUAUUAUGGUUGUGUUAAAGGUAAAA